rnacentral:rRNA from 1 species
GAAGAGUUUGAUCAUGGCUCAGAUUGAACGCUGGCGGCAGGCCUAACACAUGCAAGUCGAACGGUAACAGGAAGAAGCUUGCUUCUUUGCUGACGAGUGGCGGACGGGGGAGUAAUGUCUGGGAAACUGCCUGAUGGAGGGGGAUAACUACUGGAAACGGUAGCUAAUACCGCAUAACGUCGCAAGACCAAAGAGGGGGACCUUCGGGCCUCUUGCCAUCGGAUGUGCCCAGAUGGGAUUAGCUAGUAGGUGGGGUAACGGCUCACCUAGGCGACGAUCCCUAGCUGGUCUGAGAGGAUGACCAGCCACACUGGAACUGAGACACGGUCCAGACUCCUACGGGAGGCAGCAGUGGGGAAUAUUGCACAAUGGGCGCAAGCCUGAUGCAGCCAUGCCGCGUGUAUGAAGAAGGCCUUCGGGUUGUAAAGUACUUUCAGCGGGGAGGAAGGGAGUAAAGUUAAUACCUUUGCUCAUUGAC